GUGAGGCAUUUUCACUCUAAAGCUGCUACUUGUUUUUCAAGAAAGUUGAAAUGCGAGGCGGUUUCAAUGCUUGACAAAUCUUAUGGGCCACACGACUAUUUCUUGAAGCACAGGGCAAACAUGAUUUUUUUUUUCUCCAAUGGUUUAGUUUUCUUCUUCGACAAGUUUGAUGGGCCGCAAAACUGUUUUUGAAGCACAAGGCGAACUCAACGAUGCCUAUAUAUACAAGACACUUGUUUUCAGUUCUAACUUGAGGUAAGAGUGAAGCAAACUAGGCUUCAUCAAAAUAAAAAAUUCUUAGCUAGUCAAAAGUUAAGAAUCGAGUGUUUUUGUGGUACACUCUUGGAUUUUGAAUUAUUCUAAACACCUUGGAGAAUGAAAUCAUUGAGUUUCCUAUUUAAGAGAAGAGAUUGAGAACAAGGUAGAAAUUAGGGUUUAUUGUUAAAGGCUUAUUACUUGUAACCCUUGUAUUGCUUUGUAAGAUACUCAUUGAUGAUGAAUUGAAGAGAUGCUCUCCCCCAAGACGUAAUUAAAUUUGGUCAGAAAUGGAUGCACAAAAAUGUGGUGUUCGUUCUUCUUCUUUAUCUUAUUUCUUAUUGUCAUCCGUCUUUGAAAUGGAUACACAAAAAUGUGACUUACAAUGAGUUGAUUCAAAUGGGUGUUAAUCCAUCUUUGAAAUGUCUUAUAUUGUGCUCCACCUUCCCGGACCAAAGAUUAUGCAGAUAAUGUUAGGCUAGCUGCAUUAAGCUGGAAUGGUGAAGGUUCUUUCGUAUUUACGUCAAGCAGUGCUCCAUAUGAUUGUAAUGAUAACGGGCCGUGUGAUGAGUGCGUCCUACAUUUGAACUAUCAUAUUAUUUUGCUUGUUUUGAUUUGAGUUGAAGAGAUAAUGAUAUUCCAGUCUACAUUGAGACGCACACUUCUUUUUCCAAAUAAUCGUCUAAUUCCCAAAUUGUUUUAAUUGCUUGUGUAAUUGCAUCACAUCUAUUCCUAUGCAUAUUGUUUUAGGAUACUCCAGCUGUGCCAAUUGGGAGAAGCCCUAGGGUCGACGUCCUUCUAAAAGCUGAAAAUGUGGUGCUGGAGUUUGGCAGUUGUGUUCUAAGAUUAGCAGGGCUUUAUAUAUCCUUUAUAGCAUUCAAAUUAUUAGAAUUUGAAGAACUUUUCCUAACCUGAGUGAUCAUUGCUUUUAUUAUGUUAUGGUAACCCUUGACUGAUUCCACAAAGCAGAUAGAAGUGCACACAAUUAUUACUUAGAACUUUGCAGUAUUUCUAUUUAAACUGCUGGUGUCGAUUUAACAUUAUUGUUCUGAUCUGUUUCUCUGUAAAGGAAUCUUACAUUGUCAUAUUUUUGCAGACAAGAAAUGAUGGACCUGGUUAAUAGAAGUGGUAAAUUCAGUAAAAAGUUUGAUAAGUUCAAUGUGACUGAUGGCCCUCAUUUUCUCGCGAGCAUGUGACAGAUUCCUAAGUGUAUCUAUGCUGUUGGCUCUAAUUAAUACGGAAGGAACAAUGGAGAGAUAUAUUAGGGAAUGCUUGCUGCAGACAGAAAGUUAAUACGCACCUGAAAUCUGAAAUCUGAACUCUGUAUAUUUUCCUAUUUCUUCAUUUGGUAUUGUGAUACAAUGAUGAUCGAUUGUUGAAUUGUCCUUAAAAUGGAGUUGUUGAAUAUUUUGUUGAAAAUAGUAAUUUUAAAUGCCACUAUCUUUCUAUAGUUGAAUUAUUC